UUUAUGGAGAGUUUGAUCCUGGCUCAGGACGAACGCUGGCGGCGUGCCUAAUACAUGCAAGUCGAGCGAACUCAAUUAAAGCUUGCUUUAUGAGAGUUAGCGGCGGACGGGUGAGUAACACGUGGGCAACCUGCCCUGUAGACUGGGAUAACUUCGGGAAACCGAAGCUAAUACCGGAUAAUCUUUGGAGCCUCAUGGUUCUAAAGUGAAAGUUGGGUUUACCUAACACUACAGGAUGGGCCCGCGUCGCAUUAGCUAGUUGGUAAGGUAACGGCUUACCAAGGCGACGAUGCGUAGCCGACCUGAGAGGGUGAUCGGCCACACUGGGAC
rnacentral:ncRNA from 1 species